GCAUCGCUGAUGAGUCCCAGAAUGGGACGAAACGGCCGUCCAGUUC
rnacentral:hammerhead_ribozyme from 1 species